rnacentral:rRNA from 1 species
UACGGAGGGUGCGAGCGUUGUCCGGAAUCAUUGGGCGUAAAGCGCACGUAGGCUGCGAGGAAAGUUGGGUGUGAAAGCCCUGGGCUCAACCCAGGAAGUGCAUUCAAAACUACCUUGCUUGAAUCUCGGAGGGGGUCAGAGAAUUCCCGGUGUAGAGGUGAAAUUCGUAGAUAUCGGGAGGAACAUCAGUGGCGAAGGCGGCUACCUGGCCCAAUACUGACACUCAGGUGCGACAGCGUGGGGAGCAAACAGG